UCCUGUGUUUCGCCGCAGGUAUUCUACGGGAGCAGGCGCCCGACGCGUUGCGUCAGGGGAUCUGAAGCCUCUCGGACAAUGGAGCUAACCUGGAAGUCUCAAUCCGGGGGAGCAC
rnacentral:ncRNA from 1 species